rnacentral:rRNA from 1 species
GUGAGGAAUUUUCCGCAAUGGGCGAAAGCCUGACGGAGCAAUGCCGCGUGAUGGAUGAAGGCCUAUGGGUUGUAAACUUCUUUUCUUAGAGAAGAAUAUUGACGGUAUCUGAGGAAUAAGCAUCGGCUAACUCUGUGCCAGCAGCCGCGGUAAGACAGAGGAUGCAAGCGUUAUCCGGAAUGAUUGGGCGUAAAGCGUCUGUAGGUGGCUUCAAAAGUCUCCUGUCAAAGAUCAGGGCUUAACCCUGGGCCGGCAGGAGAAACUCUGAGGCUAGAGUUUGGUAGGGGCAGAGGGAAUUCCCGGUGGAGCGGUGAAGUGCGUAGAGAUCGGGAGGAACACCAAAGGCGAAAGCACUCUGCUGGGCCACAACUGACACUGAGAGACGAAAGCGAGGGGAGCAAAAGGGAUUAGAUACCCUUGUAGUCC